GCUGCAGAGAGGAGCUGAAAUUAAGUCAGCAGAGUUCACGAUUUGUCUUGGACCAGAGCCUAAUUCAGUUUAUAAUGCAAUGUCAGCGCUGGAGUCCCAGCAUCAGAAUUUAUGCAGAAAAAUACAUCUGAAUAGCUUGCUUGGAAUGUCUGGCCUUAAAUGGAAGGGGUAGUAACUGCUUGCAAACUGCAGUACCUUCCCCAGCACAUUGUAAAACAGUGCUCACAUGAGGAUCCUGGUACUUCUCUCAGGAAACUACUGCAGGUGAAGCUUAUUGUGUAUAAUGCUUACAGCAUGAAGGAGAGUGGAGAGGUCCUGAAGUUCAGAGACGUGGGUACGUAGGGAUGAGUUCCAUCUCUACUUGCCCUGGAGAGAGUCAAGGUACCAUGUAUCUCAAAAGCAGUCCAGCUCUACUUACUUUUAGAAACAUUUUGCUGUUUACUUUAUGGAAAAUUUGCUUACUUAAAAUCUAUUAGUUACAGUUAUUACUGCUGAAUUAACAGAAAACGUAUCUAUAUUGUAGGGUGAAUCAGUAGUGUCAGUAUAUCAAAUAACCUACUAAAUAGAUAUAUUUUAAGACAUUGAAGAGCAAGAAAUAAAAUUUUCUUGUGACCAAUUAAACCCUGAAACUGUGACAAAGAAUGAGGCUGUCACCUCUACUAAAGUCUGCUUUCUACUGCUUUGGAUCACAUGGGAGCUAUGCAUAUUUUUAACAAAUACCAUAUGCACCUCACUUUCCCUAAUUGUUACUGUCUUGCCUGACUGCAAGGGGAAACCCACAUGAAAGAAAAUAAUGACAGAGUCUGAGGAAAAUGUCCAAGGUCCUUGUGGGAACUAAUAGGAAAGCUCUGAAUAGGAAAUCACCUCUGCUAGGUACCAAAUUGGUGGGCAAGUUUACCCUUUCCAGGCCCAAGCAGGACACUAAAACUUUUCAGAUGCUGAUUCAAGGGAAAGGGAGGUUAAGUGGGCUGUCAGCAGCUGCACAGGGGGGAGAUGAUGACUGAGUCUGAGGGGCACGUAAGCGCGCUGAAACAAAACAAACUGUCUCACCUACCCCCACCUAGGCUAGAGAUGGAAGUAGCAGGAUAAAGCUGAAUUUACUGAGGCUCAGAUGGAAAGAUGAAAGCUGAGGUAAGGGUCUUUUGUUUGUUUAAGCCCUUCUCUCUGUGUUUGAGUGAAUAAUGCUUUGUUUUGGAGAAGCUGGCUUGGGGUCACUUCAAUUCAUCUGCUGUCAUAGGCUCUUGGAAGAAAAGGCA